rnacentral:rRNA from 1 species
GACGAACGCUGGCGGCGCGCUUAACACAUGCAAGUCGAACGGAAAGGCCUCUUUCCCUUGUGGAUUGCGGGUACUCGAGUGGCGAACGGGUGAGUAACACGUGAGUGAUCUGCCCCCAACUUGGGUAUAAGCCUGGGAAACUGGGUCUAAUUCCCGAUAGGACUGCAGGGUGGUGCCUGUGGUGGAAAACGAUUUUCUAGUGGUUGGGGAUGAGCUCGCGGCCUAUCAGCUUGUUGGUGGGGUAAUGGCCUACCAAGGCGGCGACGGGUAGCCGGCCUGAGAGGGUGGACGGCCACAUUGGGACUGAGAUACGGCCCAGACUCCUACGGGAGGCAGCAGUGGGGAAUAUUGCACAAUGGGCGGAAGCCUGAUGCAGCGACGCCGCGUGGGGGAUGACGGCCUUCGGGUUGUAAACUCCUUUCGACCGCGAGGAAGCCACCUGGUUGGAAGGGUGGUGACGGUAGUGGUAGAAGAAGCACCGGCUAACUACGUG